UACGUAGGGUGCAAGCGUUGUCCGGAAUUAUUGGGCGUAAAGAGCUCGUAGGCGGUUUGUUGCGUCGGCUGUGAAAUCCCGAGGCUCAACCUCGGGUCUGCAGUCGAUACGAGCAAACUAGAGUGUUGCAGGGGAGACUGGAAUUCCUGGUGUAGCGGUGAAAUGCGCAGAUAUCAGGAGGAACACUAGUGGCGAAGGCGGCCACCUGGCCAAAGACUGACGCUGAGGCACGAAAGCGUGGGGAGCAAACAGG
rnacentral:rRNA from 1 species